GUCUACAGCCACGCCACCCUGAACAAGCCCGAUCCCGUCUGAUCUCGGAAGUUAAGCAGGGUCGGGCCUGCUUAGUACUUGUGUGGGAGACCACCUGGGAAGACCAGGUGUUCUACGGG
rnacentral:rRNA from 1 species